UACGUAGGUGGCAAGCGUUGUCCGGAUUUAUUGGGUUUAAAGGGCUCGUAGGCGGCCAACUAAGUCAAACGUGAAAUCCCUCGGCUUAACCGGGGAACUGCGCUUGAUACUGGAUGGCUUGAGAUUGGGAGAGGGAUGCGGAAUUCCAGGUGUAGCGGUGAAAUGCGUAGAUAUCUGGAGGAACACCGGUGGCGAAGGCGGCAUCCUGGACCAACACUGACGCUGAGGAGCGAAAGCCAGGGGAGCAAACGGG
rnacentral:rRNA from 1 species